AUUGAACGCUGGCGGCAGGCCUAACACAUGCAAGUCGAACGAGUGGCGGACGGGUGAGUACUGUCUGGGAAACUGCCCGAUGGCGGGGGAUAACUACUGGAAACGGUAGCUAAUACCGCAUACCAUCGGAUGUGCCCAGAGGGGAUUAGCUUGUAGGUGAGGUAACGGCUCACCUAGUCGACGAUCCCUACCUGGUCUGAGAGGUUGACCAGCCACACUGGAACUGAGACACGGUCCAGACUCCUACGGGAGGCAGCAGUGGGGAAUAUUGGACAAUGGGCGAAAGCCUGACGCAGCCAUGCCGCGUGUAUGAAGAAGGCCUUCGGGUUGUAAAGUACUUUCGGCGGGGAGGCGUUACCCGAAGAAGAAGCACCGGCUAACUCCGUGCCAGCCGCCGCGGUAAUAC
rnacentral:rRNA from 1 species